CCUCGAGCUAGUGCAUCUCUUUUUCUCUGGCCGGCGUCUCUAUCUACGACCACGGCAGAGGCGAGCCGGAGCGAGGCGAGCCGAAGAUCGAGCCGGAAGCACGGCGACGGCGAGGAGGUGAUGAGCCGCCAACGAGGAGAGCGCGGCUCAUUGACGUGAAGGCCUUGCCGUUUCUCCGGCGAAGUGCUGGAGACGCUGCUGCAAUUCGUCAUCAACUUCAGACUCUAAUUUCUCUACCGAGAUGGCCUCUCCAAACGGAGGUGGUGGGAGAGAUGCGGAAGAUUGAUAUGUUUUUAUAGGCCGGUUGCUGUUGAUUGAUUUGAAAAAGGAUUGGCUCUAUAAUUGUAUACCUCAAUCGAAUUGAAGAGCUUCAAAAUUAGGUUCAUGCGACAGGGUAAGAUGCCAGCAUGUCAACGCCGCAGGCGCCCGUGCCUCUCUGGAGCUUCAUGUAGCCUCCUUCUCCCCAGUUUUGGCCCCACGAGUUCUUGAUGAGCCAGUAGCUUGUCCCAUCCUGCUCGACACCGUAGCCCACCAGGGUGACCGCGUGGUUAAUUUCUGUGCCGCAGGCGUCGCCGGUCAUGAUGCCGCCAUUGUACAUCUGGAAGCUCGGCUGCUUUCCAUCGAUGCCGACGGACACGGGCUGGUUGUUGUGUUUAAUUUGUCUAGGAUGCAUGAUUUUUUCGCCUGUUUUAUCAUGGCUAGAUUUCGAAUCUAGCAAACUGCAGCGUUGAUCACCAAAGAAAGAAGCUGCAGUAGUGAUUCAGAGGACUGUAUGAGAAUGGUUGACAUAUCCUGUCUGGGCUGGGCUUCUGCUCUUUGCAAGCAGUGCUAAUAUAUGAACAAACUUUCCGGGGAUUCUCUUCUUCUAUGGGUGGAAGGAAGCCGCAACGAAAGUUUGUCAGGAACUUCGAUGUCUCGACCGGCCUAGGCUGCUGGGCUGGUUUCCUGACUUGAGUACCAAAAUCCCGCCGGACCGUUCCGGCUCCACCGUCCACAUGGCCGCCGCUGAUGAACAAGUAAACCAGAAUACGAGAUGGGGUCAUUAGUUAGUUAGUUACCCACUAGAGAUUGAUGGGUUGACAUGCUCAGCUUCGUCCAAUCUUGUCUCGUCUUCCCUAUUCACCAGAAGCCAUUGCUGACUGAAUAAUCUGGUCUACAGUAUUAGUCUUCACAGAUUGACGUUGAAAGCAAAACGGAGUUAAUUAUGUAGUGGCGUGCUAAUUAUAUCCCCAACAACACACUAGACUGCAUACAGAUCUUCACAGUUCUUAAGGAAAUCCUGCUUUCUCAUGCUGAGCUACCAUCUAAGAUUGCUUUGGACGUCAUUAUUAUGGGGGUGUUGGGACAUGUAUUGGGUGUUGGAACAUGUGGACGCAAAGAAAUGACCGAAUCUUCUUGAUUAGCAAUCUUCUGCUGUGACUUGGAAGCUGCUUCCACUCAGACCUGGAAAUUGCUACUCAAGAAUGAUCUCAAGAUUCGGAAUGAUACACUCAAGACCUGAAUCGCCUCAGUGACUGGAUUGAGUCGAUUGUCAUAUUUCAAUGACUUCCUAAAAUCUCAUGAAGAUACCAAGAGCAGGCUUUGGAUGAAUUUUCUCUCUGCUUUGUUCCUUCCUUUAUUUUCUCUGUAUAUAUACAUUAAAUUUGAAUUGUAUGGAAAAUACAAUAGAAUGGUUGUUCUAUGUUUCUUCGUAUGUAAACUAAAAGUAAAAAGAGGUGUGCAGGUCCAAGAGAAUAGGAAUUUAUUUUGUGUUCACCGAUGAGCCCAACCAAA